rnacentral:rRNA from 1 species
GACGAACGCUGGCGGCGUGCUUAACACAUGCAAGUCGAGCGGUAAGGCCCUUUCGGGGGUACGACGAGCGGCGAACGGGUGAGUAACACGUGGGUGACCUGCCCUCAGCUCUGGGAUAAGCCUGGGAAACCGGGUCUAAUACCGGAUAUGACUCCAUGACGCAUGUUGUGGGGUGGAAAGCCUUGUGCGGCUGAGGAUGGGCCCGCGGCCUAUCAGCUUGUUGGUGGGGUGAUGGCCUACCAAGGCGACGACGGGUAGCCGGCCUGAGAGGGCGACCGGCCACACUGGGACUGAGACACGGCCCAGACUCCUACGGGAGGCAGCAGUGGGGAAUCUUGCGCAAUGGGCGAAAGCCUGACGCAGCGACGCCGCGUGGGGAGUGAAGGUCUUCGGAUUGUAAACCCCUUUACGGGAGGGAAGAUGGAAGUGGGGUAACCCACUUCGGACCGGUACCUCCAGAAGCAGCCACGGCGUAACUUCGUGCCAGCCGCCGCGGUAAU